CAGUGAGCAAGGAACAUAUCUGCUUUUACUGUCAACAGCGAGAUCGGCAGCUGGCAGUCCACCUAAAAAAAAUACCAGAACCUAUUCUGAGGCUCAGCAGAAAGAAUGUUAAAGCAGCACUACACAGGUAUUCCUCUGAUCUCGGCAAGGAGGAGGAUGCAAACAAAUGCAGGCUGGUCCUUCAACAGAAAGUUCCUUGUAGUGAGGCUAGCCCUACUACCCCAUGAGAUUAUAUUUCCUGUGACUGUGAGGCCAAGAAGUCUGCAUCCACUUACAUUAUGAAAGAUAGACACCUGAAUCUAUGCAAUUAUUUGAUUUUUUUUGGCCUUGUUCCAUCAGUGUGUUGUACAGACAAGAAGUCUGAAGAAAAAAAGUGGUAUAUAUGUAUGGGAAUGGUUUCUGUUAAACAGAAAUGAAAGUGUAGGAGAAGAUACCACUGUACUGUAAUCCAGAUGUCUGUCAGCAUUUCACUGGAGGAUCUGCAGCUGAACAAGAUACAACUGCACUGAGAAGUGGUAGGAUUAGUCAAAAUAGUCUGAGAGCCACUGUAAGUGGUUUAAUAAAUAAAUAAAUAAUGUUUUCCCUUAAGACAUAUUUUCCAGUUGUGCAAUUUUCUUCUUGUGGCUACUUAGCAACAGCAGUCAUUUUCCAUACAAGAAUCCUCCUGGUACAUUUGAAAGGGCCCCAGGCAAACUACCAUAUACAAUAUUCAUUACUCUGAAUGAACAAGUGGGGAAAAAAGUACUGAGUUCAAAAUAGUUCAUUGUUUGGUAAUCGUUGCAAAGUAUCUUUUUCCCAUAUUCCACACACAAUGUGUUUCAUUUGUUGUUGUUGUUUCAUUUUUAAUCACAAAUGGCUUCUUUCUAUACAAAAGGAAGAGAGGGGCAGAGAGAGAGACGGGGGAGAAGAAAUUCUAAAAAUCUGUAAAUCAUUGACAUCAGUUCAUCAAUGCAGCCUCCAGCCACAUUAGAAGACUCAGUGCAGUUCAAUAGCUCUACAAGCAGUUCAGAUACCAUUUUCUGUCCUCCUAGUUGGAAUAAAUGAUUCAACAUUACAAAUUUUGGAUACUCACCCUCUCUAGUGUGUCUAAUGAUACCAUCAUCAGUGGUACUUCAGGACCAAAAAAAUGUUUAGAAAAUUUAACAUAGGCAGAACCAUACCACUUUAUCAUCAAAAUAUACCUCUUGGAACACCAAAUCCAUUUCUAAUUCAUUACAAUUAAGUAGCAUUGUGGUUAUUCAAAUGUGUUAAUUAAAAUCUGACUGUACUGUUAAACUUAAUUUGUUCUCUCUUCCAGUCUAUCCUGUUGGUAGAAUGAGACAUUCCUAUCCACAGGAGUAAAAAAGGGCCGGUAAAGAUGGGUAUCUGCUUAAUACAAGAAAGGGUUAAAAUAAAUAAUAAAUAAAUAAAUAAAAGAUGCAUUUUUACUCUGUAUUAA